rnacentral:rRNA from 1 species
CAGUGUAGCAAUACAUAGGUGGCGACCGGCGCACGGGUGAGUAACGCGUAUGCAACCUGCCUACAACAGGGGGAUAACCCGGAGAAAUCCGGACUAAUACCGCAUAAAACAGGGGUCCCGCAUGGGAGUAUUUGUUAAAGAUUUAUCGGUUGUAGAUGGGCAUGCGUUCCAUUAGUURGUUGGUGAGGUAACGGCUCACCAAGACGUCGAUGGAUAGGGGAACUGAGAGGUUUGUCCCCCACACUGGAACUGAGACACGGACCAGACUCCUACGGGAGGCAGCAGUGAGGAAUAUUGGUCAAUGGGCRAGAGCCUGAACCAGCCAAGUCGCGUGAAGGAAGACUGCCUUAUGGGUUGUAAACUUCUUUUAUACAGGAAUAAAAAGGCUUACGUGUAGGCCAUUGCAAGUACUGUAUGAAUAAGCAUCGGCUAACUCCGUGCCAGCA